rnacentral:rRNA from 1 species
GCCAGCAGCUAGCUCUAUCCAUGUAACUCUCACAUGGUCGCUCAAUGAAGCCAACCAGAGCUGCGUCCGGUCAGUACCUGGAUGGGAGACCACAUGAAAAAGCUAGGUUGCUGCCUGAA